rnacentral:rRNA from 1 species
UACAGAGGUCCCAAGCGUUGUUCGGAUUCACUGGGCGUAAAGGGUGCGUAGGCGGUCGGGUAAGUCUGAUGUGAAAUCUCACAGCUUAACUGUGAAACUGCAUUGGAUACUAUCCGGCUAGAGGAAUGGAGGGGAGACUGGAAUACUUGGUGUAGCAGUGAAAUGCGUAGAUAUCAAGUGGAACACCAGUGGCGAAGGCGGGUCUCUGGGCCAUUACUGACGCUGAGGAGCGAAAGCGUGGGGAGCGAACAGG